AUUGAACGCUGGCGGCAGGCCUAACACAUGCAAGUCGAACGAGUGGCGGACGGGUGAGUAAUGUCUGGAAAACUGCCUGAUGGAGGGGGAUAACUACUGGAAACGGUAGCUAAUACCGCAUACCAUCAGAUGUGCCCAGAGUGGAUUAGCUUGCUGGUGGGGUAACGGCUCACCAAGGCGACGAUCCCUAGCCGGCCUGAGAGGAUGACCAGCCACACUGGAACUGAGACACUGUCCAGACUCCUACGGGAGGCAGCAGUGGGGAAUAUUGGACAAUGGGCGCAAGCCUGAUCCAGCCAUGCCGCGUGUAUGAAGAAGGCCUUCGGGUUUUAAAGUACUUUCAGCGGGGAGGCGUUACCCUCAGAAGAAGCACCGGCUAACUCCGUGCCAGCAGCCGCGGUAAUAC
rnacentral:rRNA from 1 species